AGACCAGGCUGCCCUGGGGAUCAUAGGAGGCCCACCUUUCUCUGCCUUCCUAGGGAUGAUACAGGACCUCACACCCAGUCCCGCCUUGCUUUUGAGACGUGGCCCCGUACUGGCACCUGGGAUGUGCGGACAAAGCUUGGCACCGGUUUUGAUGUUACAGAAUAUUUCGGUUUCUGCCCUGGAACCAGCCUCAUGCCAGCCACACGAGUCAAUCAAGACCUUCCAGACAAAUCCUUUGCCGUGGGUCGCACCAGGGAAAGAACCAGCGAGGCCAGUUCAAGCAGAGCCACCUCCCUUGUCACACCUGCCUUGUCACACCCGCCUUGUCACACCCGCCAUGUCCCUGGUAAGCCUGCCUGCUGUUGAAAUCUGUCCCUCAUGCCAGACCUCAUAGCGUGGGAGAAACACAGGGAAGAUUCACUGUCAGCCUUUCUCCAUGACUAAAGAUGACUCUCCUUCCUUCUGCUCCGAUCUCUCCAAUAAAAAUGUACUUUUGA